UGAUUGUAAGGCAGAGGAAGUGGUGGGAUAUGGGUAUUACCCUUGGAGAAAUUUGCAAAAUAAGCUCUCUCCCUUAUGUUGGUGCUUAUUCCGUGGACGGUGUAGUUGGUCGUUACUACUCUCCAGCCGUCCGCAGCGACGAACAGUCGCGAAGAUGCAGCUGAUCCAUCUGGGCAUUCAACUUUAAAUUCUUCUGUAGAGAAUCGCAGCCAGGUUCUGUUGUUCAGCCUCUUGUGAUGGCGUGUGAUGCUGUAAUGCGAUUACUUACUUGGGGAAGGACACAGUCAAGGUGCCGAUCAGACAGACGUUAGGAGAAGUUUUCACGAGAGAGGUUAUGCAACCUUUUCACCGGAGGGGCUGCACAGUGACGACGGAUAACUUCUUCACGAUGUUACUGCUCGCCUUGGCGAGUCUACGAGGGCACCAUUCGACAGAAACCUUAUAUUCCUAGGGAACUUUCAUGAGAAGGUGCUUCCCAUCAAGGACUUAGUGGCCGUGUUCAAUUACGAACACAAUUUGACUCUUCAGUGUCAGCAAGUCAGCAGGACUAAAAAGGUGAUGCUGAACAUUCCCUGCAUGAUCCAUCUGAGAUCGACAGAAGGAAGAUCCUGCAUGAUCCAUCUGAGAUCGACAGAAGGAAGAUCCUGCAUGAUCCAUCUGAGAUCGACAGAAGGAAGAUCCUGCAUGAUCCAUCUGAGAUCGACAGAAGGAAGAUCCUGCAUGAUCCAUCUGAGAUCGACAGAAGGAAGAUCCUGCAUGAUCCAUCUGAGAUCGAAAGAAGGAAGAUGGACAUUCAGAUGUUCUAUAAUGCCACAAAAGGGAGUGUAAACACAUUCGAUCAGAUGUGUUCUACAUAAAAUUGUGUUCAUAAGACACGACGCUGGCCACUUUGUCUUUUCUACUGUAUAUUGAAUAUAAUUAUGGUGAAUUCUUUUAUUCUCUAUUUGUCCCUGCCAUCGUCAAAAAGUUUGACAGGGCGAAGGUUUUUCAAGGAGGUUGCCCUUAAAUUUUUUGCUCCCCUUAGAAGUCCAUCAGUAUUACACAUUGACCAACUUGUCGAAGCCCCUCCGUGUGCUGAUGGCAGAUACGUUUAAGCUGGCUGAGCUGGAACAUAGACCUCCUCCUGCCAUUGGUUACAUCAAGCUGCUCAAGCAUGUUCGCUGCCAAAGUUGCCCAUCUAGAGAAGACCACAAGACAAACACGGCAUGUUUGUGGUACAAUGAGCCCGUCUGCCUGUGUCCCGGGUGUCUCUACUAUAUAGGCAGCAAACUUGGCCCUCGCACUUGGCAUGGUUAGGGGCCAUUUUGCAGACAUACCCGAAAGGUGGCAGAUGCAGCCGUCGCACUUGGCGGGGUCAGGGGCCAUUUUGCGGACAUACCCGGUUUUACAGUAGUACUUGUCUAGCGUCAUACAAUCGAUGAUUUAUGGUGCCAUAACAGGCCGAGUUCCGGUUAUUGGCGCUAUAAGGCGCCAAUAAUAGUUAAGCCUCCAUAACAUACCUAAAGGAGGUGAAAUUAACCAGAUAUCGGUGCAAAAGGUAAGUUGCCAUAUCACUAUAUAUUCUUAAUUUCUAUAGAAUUUGUGGUACUCUGGUAGAUUUUCAUGCAUAAAUAUCAUAUCUUAUAAUAGUUACAACGAUUUUUAUAAUAAAUUUUCAAGGUGAAACUAGGUCAAAAAAUGG